ensembl:snoRNA
AUCGUCCUGGUGGUUUAUAAGUAUGAUCACUGGAUUUUAGACUCCUCUGUGAAAUGUGCCUCUCUCAAUUCUUGUUCAAACCUUGUUAAAUCAGCACAUCACUUGUCUGACA